UACGCGUGAGAAUCUGCCUCUAGGCCGGGGAAACAACUGGAAACGGUUGCUAAUACCCGAUGUGCAGAAUGUGAAAGAUUAUUGCCUAGAGAUGAGCUCGCGUCUGAUUAGCUAGUAGGUGUGGUAAUGGCGCACCUAGGCGACGAUCAGUAACUGGUCUGAGAGGAUGACCAGUCACACUGGGACUGAGACACGGACCAGACUCCUACGGGAGGCAGCAGAGGGGAAUUAUCCGCAAUGGGCGAAAGCCUGACGGAGCAAUACCGCGUGAGGGACGAAGGCUUUUGGGUCGUAAACCUCUUUUCCCUGAGAAGAAGAUCUGACGGUAUCAG
rnacentral:rRNA from 1 species